rnacentral:sRNA from 1 species
GCUGGGCACUGCGGUGCACGCCUGUAAUCCCAGUAGCUCAGGAGGCUGAGGCAGGAGGAUCACAAGUUCAGAGCCAGCCUCAGCAAAGGCAAGGUGCUAGCCAAGCAACUCAGUGAGACCCUGUCUCUA